UAGGGAAUCUUGCACAAUGGGCGAAAGCCUGAUGCAGCAACGCCGCGUGGGGGACGACGGCCCUCGGGUUGUAAACCCCUUUCAGCAGGGACGAAACUGACGGUACCUGCAGAAGAAGCCCCGGCCAACUACGUGCCAGCAGCCGCGGUAACACGUAGGGGGCGAGCGUUGUCCGGAUUUAUUGGGCGUAAAGAGCUCGUAGGCGGCUCAGUAAGUCGGGUGUGAAACCCCCGGGCUCAACCCGGGGCCGCCAUCCGAUACUGCUGUGGCUUGAGUCCGGUAGGGGAGCGUGGAAUUCCUGGUGUAGCGGUGAAAUGCGCAGAUAUCAGGAGGAACACCAGCGGCGAAGGCGGCGCUCUGGGCCGGAACUGACGCUGAGGAGCGAAAGCGUGGGGAGCGAACAG
rnacentral:rRNA from 1 species